rnacentral:sRNA from 1 species
UAUGACACCUUUACCCGGGAUGAAAAAGUAGGAGAAACAAUUAUUGAUCUGGAAAACCGAUUCCUUUCCCGCUUUGGAUCCCACUGCGGCAUACCAGAGGAGUACUGUGUUUCUGGAGUCAAUACCUGGCGAGAUCAACUGAGACCAACACAGCUGCUUCAAAAUGUCGCCAGAUUCAAAGGCUUCCCACAACCCAUCCUUUCCGAAGAUGGGAGUAGAAUCAGAUAUGGAGGACGAGACUACAGUUUGGAUGAAUUUGAAGCCAACAAGAUCCUGCACCAGCACCUCGGGGCCCCUGAAGAGCGGCUUGCUCUUCACAUCCUCAGGACUCAGGGGCUGGUCCCUGAGCACGUGGAAACAAGGACUUUGCACAGCACUUUCCAGCCCAACAUUUCCCAGCCAUAUGAGCAGUUUCAAGAAAUGACAGAGUGAGGAAGAUUUCUCCCUGGGAAUCCAUAAACCCCCAUCACUUUUGCCUCCAGCAUUAGCCACAGACUGUGGCUGGGUUUGGGGAGACACUGGAUGCCUGAUAUUCUGUAGAGUGCUUGAUGAAUUGUAGAGCCCUGAGCCCUAGAGAUUAGUUGGAGGAGAGUCAGGAUCAUAGUAAAAUACAUCCCUUUUCAAGAGUUCCACUUAAUGUAUUUUGAUCACAAUGCAUUAGGAAGCCAAUCUAGUGGUUUCCUUGGCAACUUUCUUGA